UACAGAGGUCUCAAGCGUUGUUCGGAUUCAUUGGGCGUAAAGGGUGCGUAGGCGGCGCGGUAAGUCGGGUGUGAAAUUCGACGGGCUUAACUCCGAAACUGCAUUCGAUACUGCCGUGCUUGAGGACUGGAGAGGAGACUGGAAUUACGGUGUAGCGGUGAAAUGCGUAGAUAUCGUAAGGAAGACCAGUGGCGAAGGCGGGUCUCUGGACAGUUCCUGACGCUGAGGCACGGAAGGUCCAGGGGAGCAAACGGG
rnacentral:rRNA from 1 species